rnacentral:rRNA from 1 species
UGGGGAAUCUUGCGCAAUGGGCGCAAGCCUGAUCCAGCCAUGCCGCGUGAGUGAAGAAGGCCUUCGGGUUGUAAAGCUCUUUUGUCAGGGACGAUAAUGACGGUACCUGAAGAAUAAGCCCCGGCAAACUUCGUGCCAGCAGCCGCGGUAAUACGAAGGGGGCUAGCGUUGUUCGGAAUUACUGGGCGUAAAGCGCACGUAGGCUGAUUGUUAAGUCAGGGGUGAAAUCCCAGAGCUCAACUCUGGAACUGCCCUUGAUACUGGCAAUCUCGAGUCCGGAAGAGGUUAGUGGAAUUCCCAGUGUAGAGGUGAAAUUCGUAGAUAUUGGGAAGAACACCAGUGGCGAAGGCGGCUAACUGGUCCGGUACUGACGCUGAGGUGCGAAAGCGUGGGGAGCAAACAGGAUUAGAUACCCGAGUAGUCCCUGAGCGGGCUGGCAAGGCGCAU